CAGCAGCCGCCGCGGGAAUACAGAGGGUGCGAGCGUUAAUCGGAUUUACUGGGCGUAAAGCGUGCGUAGGCGGCUUUUUAAGUCGGAUGUGAAAUCCCUGAGCUUAACUUAGGAAUUGCAUUCGAUACUGGGAAGCUAGAGUAUGGGAGAGGAUGGUAGAAUUCCAGGUGUAGCGGUGAAAUGCGUAGAGAUCUGGAGGAAUACCGAUGGCGAAGGCAGCCAUCUGGCCUAAUACUGACGCUGAGGUACGAAAGCAUGGGGAGCAAACAGGAUUAGAUACCCCGGUAGUCCCUGUCUCUUAUAC
rnacentral:rRNA from 1 species